GCCAGCCCGCUCAGCAACUCAAAGGAAUUGACGGGGCCCGCACAAGCGGCGGAGCAUGUGGAUUAAUUCGAUGCAACGCGAAGAACCUUACCUGGGUUUGACAUAUACCGGAAAGCUGCAGAGAUGUGGCCCCCCUUGUGGUCGGUAUACAGGUGGUGCAUGGCUGUCGUCAGCUCGUGUCGUGAGAUGUUGGGUUAAGUCCCGCAACGAGCGCAACCCUUGCCUUUAGUUGCCAGCAGUUCGGCUGGGCACUCUAAAGGGACUGCCGGUGUUAAACCGGAGGAAGGUGGGGAUGACGUCAAGUCCUCAUGGCCUUUAUGACCAGGGCUACACACGUACUACAAUGGCCGAUACAAAGGGCAGCGACACUGCGAGGUGAAGCCAAUCCCGUAAAAUCGGUCUCAGUCCGGAUUGCAGUCUGCAACUCGACUGCAUGAAGUUGGAAUCGCUAGUAAUCGUGGAUCAGCCAAGCCGCGGUGAAUACGUUCCCGGGCCUU
rnacentral:rRNA from 1 species